rnacentral:lncRNA from 1 species
GCUGCGCGGUGAGGUCGUGACAAGUCACAGCUAACUUGCCCUCCGCGCCAUUCCACGCCACCAGGAAGCGCAGCCGGUGCCUCUCGGCAUCGGCGAAGAGGCCUUGCCGGACCGGCGCCCAGCCCUCCAGGCUGUCGAGCUGCUCGUCCUCCAUGGCCGUCGGCGGCAGCGGCCCUAGGACUCGGCGGGCGCGGGCCUGACCUCGUCGCACUGCCUGUCAGGGGACAGUCCCAGGCAUAACUGAAGGUGAAAGGACAGAAUCACCGUGUGUUACUGGCACAGAUGCAUCGGCUAGUGAAGAAAGAAGACAUUCAAACUGUAAGUUGCAUUCAC